AAAACUUAGGUACAAUUCCUUAGGUGCUUUUCGUAUGGUUCUUAAAUAGAAAUACAUAUUUUUUAGAUAUAACAAACUAUGAGAAAAUUAUGGAAUUAAGGAAAUUACGGUGAAUUUAAUUAAGAACCAUACGAAAAGCACCUAAAGAAUUGUACCUAAGUUUU
rfam:Medicago truncatula strain A17 chromosome 8, whole genome shotgun sequence.